AACGAACGCUGGCGGCGUGCCUAACACAUGCAAGUCGAACGGAAUUAGAGAGCUUGCUCUUUAAUUUAGUGGCGCACGGGUGAGUAACGCGUAGAUAAUCUGCCUGGUGAUCUGGGAUAACACUUCGAAAGAGGUGCUAAUGCCGGAUAAGCCCACGGGAACUUUGGUUCUUGCGGGAAAAGGGGGGGACCUUCGGGCCUUCUGUCAUCAGAUGAGUCUGCGUACCAUUAGCUAGUUGGUAGGGUAAUGGCCUACCAAGGCGACGAUGGUUAGCUGGUCUGAGAGGAUGAUCAGCCACACUGGAACUAGGACACGGUCCAGAGUCCUACGGGAGGCAGCAGUGGGGAAUUUUGCGCAAUGGGCGAAAGCCUGACGCAGCAACGCCGCGUGAGUGAUGAAGGCUUUCGGGUCGUAAAGCUCUGUCAAUGGGAAAGAAGUGUAUUGUGGCUAAUAUCCACGAUACUUGACGGUACCCAUAAAGGAAGCACCGGCUAACUCCGUGCCAGCCGCCGCUGUAA
rnacentral:rRNA from 1 species